rnacentral:rRNA from 1 species
AUUGAACGCUGGCGGCAUGCUUUACACAUGCAAGUCGAACGGUAACAGGUUAAGCUGACGAGUGGCGAAUGGGUGAGUAAUGCAUCGGAACGUGCCCGAUCGUGGGGGAUAACGCAGCGAAAGCUGCGCUAAUACCGCAUACGAUCUGAGGAUGAAAGCGGGGGACCGUAAGGCCUCGCGCGAUCGGAGCGGCCGAUGUCAGAUUAGGUAGUUGGUGGGGUAAAGGCUCACCAAGCCAACGAUCUGUAGCUGGUCUGAGAGGACGACCAGCCACACUGGGACUGAGAUACGGCCCAGACUCCGACGGGAGGAAGCAGUGGGGAAUUUUGGACAAUGGGCGAAAGCCUGAUCCAGCAAUGCCGCGUGCAGGAAGAAGGCCUUCGGGUUGUAAACUGCUUUUGUACGGAGCGAAAAGGCUCUCUCUAAUACAGGGGGCUCAUGACGGUACCGUAAGAAUAAGCACCGGCUAACUACGUGCCAGCCGCCGCCGUAA